rnacentral:lncRNA from 1 species
UAAAAUCUAGAUCUCUAAUAUUUUUAAGCCCCUUGGACACUGCAGCUCUUUUCAGUUUUUGCUCAGUACCCCUGUAUUUUUAGUGACUGAAAUCAUGAAAAUUCUGGUCAGGUCCUGUCUUGUCUUGCUUGCACAUGUUAACCACUCCCUCUUUGACCAAUAUCCCUUUUUCCCCACAAUACAAUAUAAAAUGGGGAUAAUGGAUUUU